rnacentral:rRNA from 1 species
UAGAGGAAGUAAAAGUCGUAACAAGGUUUCCGUAGGUGAACCUGCGGAAGGAUCAUUAUCGAAUUAUAAGCGAGGGUUGUYGCUGGCCUCGAAAGAGGCAUGUGCACGCCCGAGCUCUUAAAUCCACAACACACCUGUGAACCCACCGUAGGCCUUCGGGCUUAUGUAUCAUAUACUCUGAAUGUGUCAUAGAAUGUUCAUGUUGCCUUAAAACGCAAUCAAAUACAACUUUCAACAACGGAUCUCUUGGCUCUCGCAUCGAUGAAGAACGCAGCGAAAUGCGAUAAGUAAUGUGAAUUGCAGAUUUUCAGUGAAUCAUCGAAUCUUUGAACGCACCUUGCGCUCCUUGGUAUUCCGAGGAGCAUGCCUGUUUGAGUGUCAUUAAAUUCUCAACCCCACCGAUUUGCUUCGGGGGGAUUGGACUUGGAGCGUGCUGGCGAAGGUCGGCUCCUCUUUAAAUGCAUCAGUGGAGAGAAACUUGCCCCAGUGUGAUAAUCCUGUUGCGCUGUGGUGGGUGAAAGUCUGCUUCCAACCGUCCCUCCGGGGACAUACGUCAUCUUAUUUUGACCUCAAAUCAGGUAGGACUACCCGCUGAACUUAAGCAUAUCAUA